UACGUAGGGUGCGAGCGUUGUCCGGAUUUACUGGGCGUAAAGAGCGCGCAGGCGGUCGUUCAAGUCGAGUGUGAAAGCCCCCGGCUCAACUGGGGAGGGUCACGCGAUACUGAUCGACUCGAAGGCAGGAGAGGGUAGUGGAAUUCCCGGUGUAGUGGUGAAAUGCGUAGAGAUCAGGCAGAACACCUGGGGCGAAGGCGGCCAGCUGGGCCGUCCCUGACGCUGAGGCGGCGAAGGCGUGGGGAGCGAACGGG
rnacentral:rRNA from 1 species